AUUGAACGCUGGCGGCAGGCCUAACACAUGCAAGUCGAACGGUAACAGGAAACAGCUUGCUGUUUCGCUGACGAGUGGCGGACGGGUGAGUAAUGUCUGGGAAACUGCCUGAUGGAGGGGGAUAACUACUGGAAACGGUAGCUAAUACCGCAUAACGUCGCAAGACCAAAGAGGGGGACCUUCGGGCCUCUUGCCAUCGGAUGUGCCCAGAUGGGAGUAGCUAGUAGGUGGGGUAACGGCUCACCUAGGCGACGAUCCCUAGCUGGUCUGGGAGGAUGACCAGCCACACUGGAACUGAGACACGGUCAAGACUCCUACGGGAGGCAGCAGUGGGGAAUAUUGCACAAUGGGCGCAAGCCUGAUGCAGCCAUGCCGCGUGUAUGAAGAAGGCCUUCGGGUUGUAAAGUACUUUCAGCGGGGAGGAAGGGAGUAAAGUUAAUACCUUUGCUCAUUGACGUUACCCGCAGAAGAAGCACCGGCUAACUCCGUGCCAGCAGCCGCCGUAA
rnacentral:rRNA from 1 species